rnacentral:ribozyme from 13 species
ACAAUGAAGAGAAAGGAAUUCCUGAGAGGGCGAGUGAGUUUGUUUCUUCUUUUUCGAGUUUGUUUUCUUCUUCUUCUACUACUCCUACUUCUUCUUCUUCAAAUACGACGUAUGGAGAGAUUGGGGGUGGGGACAAAUAAGGGGGAAGAGACUUCUCAUUUUAAACCGAACACAAAAAAAACUCAAAAAAA